rnacentral:rRNA from 1 species
UCCGAAUGGGGAAACCCACUGCUUCGGCAGUAUCUUGCAGUGAAUUCAUAGCUGCUGGAAGCGAACCCGGUGAACUGAAAUAUCUAAGUAACCGGAGGAAAAGAAAUCAACCGAGAUUCCCUAAGUAGUGACGAGCGAACGGGGAGCAGCCCUUAAGCUGGAAUGGCUUUAGAAAAACAAUCUGGAAAGAUUGGCCAUAGAAGGUGAUAGCCCUGUAUUUAAAAGGGCCACUCCAGUGAAGACGAGUAGGGCGGGGCACGUGAAACCCUGUCUGAAUAUGGGGGGACCAUCCUCCAAGGCUAAAUACUCCUGACCGACCGAUAGUGAACCAGUACCGUGAGGGAAAGGCGAAAAGAACCCCGGAGAGGGGAGUGAAAUAGAUCCUGAAACCGUGUGCGUACAAGCAGUAGGAGCUCGCAAGAGUGACUGCGUACCUUUUGUAUAAUGGGUCAGCGACUUACUGUUCGUGGCAAGCUUAACCGUAUAGGGGAGGCGAAGGGAAACCGAGUCUGAUAAGGGCGCAUAGUCGCGGGCAGUAGACCCGAAACCGGGUGAUCUAGUCAUGGCCAGGGUGAAGGUGCCGUAACAGGUACUGGAGGCCCGAACCCACGUCUGUUGCAAAAGACGGGGAUGAGCUGUGAUUAGGAGUGAAAAGCUAAUCGAACCCGGAGAUAGCUGGUUCUCCUCGAAAGCUAUUUAGGUAGCGCCUCGGACGAAUACUACUGGGGGUAGAGCACUGUUAUGGCUAGGGGGUCAUCGCGACUUACCAAACCAUUGCAAACUCCGAAUACCAGUACGUACUAUCCGGGAGACACACGGCGGGUGCUAACGUCCGUCGUGAAAAGGGAAACAACCCAGACCCACAGCUAAGGUCCCAAAUUCACUGCUAAGUGGAAAACGAUGUGGAAAGGCAUAGACAGCCAGGAGGUUGGCUUAGAAGCAGCCACCCUUUAAAGAAAGCGUAAUAGCUCACUGGUCGAGUCGGUCUGCGCGGAAGAUUUAACGGGGCUAAGCAGUGAACCGAAGCUUGGGGUGCAUAAAACUUGUUUUAUGCGCGGUAGAGGAGCGUUCCGUAAGCCUGCGAAGGUGGAUUGAGAAGUCUGCUGGAGGUAUCGGAAGUGCGAAUGCUGACAUGAGUAACGAUAAUGCGGGUGAAAAGCCCGCACGCCGAAAGCCCAAGGUUUCCUUGCGCAACGUUAAUCGACGCAGGGUUAGUCGGUCCCUAAGGCGAGGGCGAAAGCCGUAGUCGAUGGGAAGCAGGUUAAUAUUCCUGCACCUCGCGUGAGUGCGAUGGAGGGACGGAGAAGGUUAGGUGUACCGGGCGUUGGUUGUCCCGGGGAAAGGCGGUAGGUUUGGAUCUUUGGCAAAUCCGGGAUCCUUUAAGACCGAGCACCGAGACGAGCCUUUAUGGCGAAGUCACUGAUACCACGCUUCCAGGAAAAGCUCCUAAGCUUCAGCUCACGAAGACCGUACCGUAAACCGACACAGGUGGGUAGGAUGAGAAUUCUCAGGCGCUUGAGAGAACUCGGGUGAAGGAACUAGGCAACAUGGCACCGUAACUUCGGGAGAAGGUGCACCCUUUUUGGUGGCUCAUGCGAGCUAUAGCUGAAGAGGGUCGCAGAAACCAGGCCGCUGCGACUGUUUAUCAAAAACACAGCACUCUGCAAACACGAAAGUGGACGUAUAGGGUGUGACGCCUGCCCGGUGCUGGAAGGUUAAUUGAUGGGGUCAGCCGCAAGGCGAAGCUCUUGAUCGAAGCCCCAGUAAACGGCGGCCGUAACUAUAACGGUCCUAAGGUAGCGAAAUUCCUUGUCGGGUAAGUUCCGACCUGCACGAAUGGCGUAACGACAGCGGCGCUGUCUCCACCCGAGACUCAGUGAAAUUGAAAUCGCUGUGAAGAUGCAGCGUUCCCGUGGCAAGACGGAAAGACCCCGUGAACCUUUACUAUAGCUUUACACUGAACGUUGAGUUCGUCUGUGUAGGAUAGGUGGGAGGCUAUGAAACUGUGGCGCUAGCUGCAGUGGAGCCAUCCUUGAAAUACCACCCUGUCGUGCUUGACGUUCUAACCUAGAUCCGUUAUCCGGAUCAGGGACCGUGUAUGGUGGGUAGUUUGACUGGGGCGGUCUCCUCCUAAAGAGUAACGGAGGAGCACGAAGGUACGCUCAGCGCGGUCGGACAUCGCGCACUGUGUGCAAAGGCAUAAGCGUGCUUGACUGCAAGAUCGACGGAUCAAGCAGGUACGAAAGUAGGUCUUAGUGAUCCGGUGGUUCUGUAUGGAAGGGCCAUCGCUCAACGGAUAAAAGGUACUCCGGGGAUAACAGGCUGAUACCGCCCAAGAGUUCAUAUCGACGGCGGUGUUUGGCACCUCGAUGUCGGCUCAUCACAUCCUGGGGCUGUAGUCGGUCCCAAGGGUAUGGCUGUUCGCCAUUUAAAGUGGUACGCGAGCUGGGUUCAGAACGUCGUGAGACAGUUCGGUCCCUAUCUGCCAUGGGCGUUGGAAGUUUGAGAGGGGCUGCUCCUAGUACGAGAGGACCGGAGUGGACGAACCUCUGGUGUUCCGGUUGUCACGCCAGUGGCAUUGCCGGGUAGCUAUGUUCGGAAGCGAUAACCGCUGAAAGCAUCUAAGCGGGAAGCGCGCCUCAAGAUGAGACUUCCCGGGGCACAAGCCCCCUAAAGGAACCAUAUAGACUAUGUGGUUGAUAGGUCAGGUGUGU